UGUUGCUGGUCCUUUAUUUGGGGGAUGCCUUAGUAGCGUUUUAAAAAUUAGUUUUUAAUAGCAGCAUUUGUUUAAGAAGGAAGAAAAAACGCUUGGUGGUACCUUCUGGAAUGUACAUUAAUCUUGUUAAUGACAGUACAGUUCAUGGUUGGCCAAACAGGACUUUUGAAUCAACCUGUAUUGUGUGUGAGUGUGUAUGUGCUUGAGAAAGAAGGCCAGGGCACUAAAGAUACAUGAGAAGUGCAUGAAGACAGGAUGCAGGAUUUCCUAUGAUUUUAUGUUGUUCUUAAUUAGGAAGCAUAUUGGCAGCAAAUGCUAACAUGUGUUAGGAUGUUUAGCUGAAGCCAAAUAAAUGUUUUCUAUUACAACUCUGAAUUCCAUGCCUGGUUGGAACCCGUGCUGUUCUGCUCAUGGCUUACAAAAUCCCGUUAAAAGUCAUCUCAAGGGCCAAUUUUCUGUUGGCUCACAGAGCAAAACUACUUUCACCACAUGUUUUCCUGAAGGGUUAUCUACAACUCCGGGUGGAAGUCAAAGAUUGGAAGAGGAUGACCUCUGAUCCUGGAACUGCAUUGCUUGAUGGUCAGGAAGGGUUCUUAGUAAGCAAACUCAGUUUAAUCCCAGAGUCAGAAGUGGGUAUCAACAAGCCAAAGCAGUAUCCUUUCAGUUCUGCUACUUUUUUGUCUUGGUGGAAGAAUAGCCAACGGAAGAAGAUGGAGAAUCCAGACCAAAAAAAAAAAAAGAUGAGACUAAUCUUAUACUCAAUAUGGAAGAUAAUCAUAACUCGUCACUCUGGAUUAUAACUGCUUACAUAUGUCUUUCUUAUGAGAUAAUUCACCCUUGAAGGCUCAGAAGGAACACAAAGACAAAGAAAAAUGGUUCUUGGGUCCUGCCCUCAAGGCACUUACAGUCCAGUUUCAGUUUUAGAAAUUCAACCAAGAACAUGGCUAAUGACUGGUAGAGAUUGUACUGACUAUUAUACCACUUCUGUUAAAAUAUUAUUUUGGUUGAAAUAAUAAAAUGUAGAUUAAAAAAUAAAAUAAA